rnacentral:rRNA from 1 species
CAGUAGCCACGGUAAUACGAAGGGUGCAAGCGUUAAUCGGAAUUACUGGGCGUAAAGCGCACGUAGGCGGACUUUUAAGUCAGGGGUGAAAUCCCGGGGCUCAACCUUGGAACUGCCUUUGAAACUCCUGAUCUUGAGGUCGAGAGAGGUGAGUGGAAUUCCGAGUGUAGAGGUGAAAUUCGUAGAUAUUCGGAGGAACACCAGUGGCGAAGGCGGCCAUCUGGGACAACACUGACGCUGAGGCACGAAAGCGUGGGGAGCAAACAGGAUUAGAUACCCGGGUAGUCCCUGUCUCUUAUAC